rnacentral:rRNA from 1 species
UACGGGAGGCAGCCAGUAGGGAAUCUUCCGCAAUGGACGAAAGUCUGACGGAGCAACGCCGCGUGAGUGAUGAAGGUUUUCGGAUCGUAAAACUCUGUUAUUAGGGAAGAACAAAUGUGUAAGUAACUGUGCACAUCUGACGGACCUAUCAGAAGCCNCGCA